AUUUAAUGCUCACAGUAGCUGUGUUGUAAGUUAUGGCAGGAUACAGUUUGUUUAAUACCCCUCCCCUCACACGCCUAUCAGUCGCGCUCGUCCAGUCAGCACAUUGCUAGAAACUAUCUUUGCAAACUUUCGGAUUGUGAACUGCCACACCCCCGCGACAAGUAUAAAAGGAACCCAGAACUCCCCCGUCUGUAUUGAUGAAAAGACGGGCGAUGAAAAGGAGGAAACCGUCAAAAAAGGUAGAAGAGCUUCAACGAGAAAGGAAGGGUCCCCGGAAGAAAGGGAAACUUGGUCCUCAGGGGCCCACAGCAGGUGCUGUUGGAGCCCCUGAGGACCAGGUCAAAGAAAACCUCAUCUGUCCAGAGCGCGCCUGUGUCAUCUCCCCAGAGGAAGAAGCAGAGACCAGAGACGGGUCCAGCACACCGAGUAUAUCCCAGGUGACAAAGCAGGAAGGCGAACAUCAGGAAGAAGAAGAAGAUAUUUCAGAACUAAAGGCUGGGGAGAUACACAGAUGGCCUUGUCUUAUUUUACCUACCCGUUAUAAAAAAAAUAAUUUCUUUUUAACUCCUAAUCCAAGUGAAUCUCUACAUUUGUAUUUGGGAGAAAAAUAUAUUAAUGUUAUUGAGCCAAAUUCAAAUAAAAUAGUUGAAUUUAUAUUAUGUUAUAAUUGGAAUAGCACUCAUUUGGAAUCAGCAAAACUAUUCCAGAAAGACCUGACCUCAGUAUUCCGAUCUGAAGCCAAUAUUCCUUCAGAAACAGUAGACAUAGCCGAGUAUGAAGAUGUAGAUGUAUAUGAAUAUAAAACUCGAAACAAAAUAAAGAUUAAAGCAUUAAACUUUGUUAAUGAGGCCAGUUAUACAUUAAUUUUAAAAAUGUUAAUUUCCAAAAAGGACAAAAAAGAUAUUUAUUUUAGGGUUAAAGAUUUUGUAAUGCGACUGAACCCUGAAAAUCUCUAUAUAGAACCAUGGGGUACAACAGAUGAAGGAAAAACCUGGCACUGGAAAUACAAAGACCUAAUUUAUGAUAGUCGUAAAAUUGCUUCUGGUAGAAACUUUAGUCAAGCCUUGAACGUGCUGGUCAGGGGGGAUUUCGAUAAAAGACAGGAUAGCUUUAGUAAUGUCAAUAUUCAUGAGGUUGUGGCUAUGCUUGCGGUCUUGAUUUCCGAAGCAAUUCGAAACCCCAGCACUUAUUACAUCAACUUGAUCAUGAUGAGAUGGAAU
rnacentral:lncRNA from 1 species